GUGGGGAAUAUUGCGCAAUGGGGGAAACCCUGACGCAGCGACGCCGCGUGAGCGAAGAAGGCCUUAGGGUUGUAAAGCUCUGUUUUAAGGGACGAAUGUCGUGGGGAGUAAUAUGCUCUGCGAAUGACGGUACCUUAAGAGGAAGCCCCGGCUAACUACGUGCCAGCAGCCGCGGUAAGACGUAGGGGGCGAGCGUUGUCCGGAAUUACUGGGCGUAAAGAGCACGUAGGCGGGAACUUAAGUCAGGUGUGAAAGACCGGGGCUCAACUGCGGGGUUGCACUUGAAACUGGGUUUCUUGAGGGCAGGAGAGGAAAGCAGAAUUCCUGGUGUAGCGGUGAAAUGCGUAGAAAUCAGGAGGAAUACCAGUGGCGAAGGCGGCUUUCUGGACUGACCCUGACGCUGAGGUGCGAAAGCGUGGGUAGCAAACAGGAUUAGAAACCCGAGUAGUCC
rnacentral:rRNA from 1 species